AUGUGCAGAAGAACGUUUCAUCUUUGGCGGGCUCCCCUGAGGAGUGCCGCCGGAAUUAAUGGAUCUCAUGAGUUGGAACUGCUGGGAGGGGGGAAUUCCCGGACAGUUCGCGAGCUAGCGACGCUAGUGCAGCCGCAUUCCCCCAGGAUGGUGUUUUUGUGUGAGACAAGACAAAAAGAAGAGAAAAUGAGAAGGUUGAGAGGCCGGCUGGGCCUCAAAGGCUUUACUAGUGUGGACAGCAAUGGCCUCAAAGGCUUUACUAGUGUGGACAGCAAUCUGUGGAGGGGGGCACCGCACACGGCUAAAAUCAACUUGUGUGUCUAUGGGGUGCCCCCUCCCCCGUAUAUAAAGGAGGAGAGGAGGGGGCCGGCCGGCCUCAUGGUGCGCCCCCAAGGGGGGAUUCCUACUCCUACUAGGAGUAGGUUUCCCCCCUUUCCUAGUCCAAAUAGGAGGGGGAAGGAAGGGGAAGAGGGAAAGAAGGAAAGGGGGGCCGGCCCCCUCCCCAAUUCGGAUUGGGCUUGGGGGCGCGCCCCACCUCUUGGCCGCCUCCUCUCUCUUCCACUAAAGCCCAUGUAG
rnacentral:rRNA from 1 species